AAUAGCUAUUGUUUAUUGUUCAGACAUUGACCUUUUCCUUUAGCUAAUAGUACAAAGAAAGGGAUCUGGAAAACUGGAGCAUAGAGUGAGUGCACUCAGGAGUGUGGAGGAGGACGUAGACAAAGGAGCAUCACUUGUGUUGACUCUAAGACUAAUGAGGAAUUAAGUUCUAGUAAAUGUAAUGCCUUAAAGCCUUCAGAGAAUGAGCCAUGCAACUUGCAAGACUGUUGCUUUGAUGUUGUAUCUCUGUGCAGUACAGUCAAAAGCCUUUGCUCAUACAACAAGAUCAAGGACAUGUGUUGCAAGACAUGCAGUGCCUGAAAUGUCCAAGUGUUUUGCUGUUGCUUUUUUCUAUUUUGCUGCUAGAUCUAAACUUUCAUAAUUCUUUUGUGAAACUUUAUAGAUCUAUAUAUAUGCUGUUAGUUUUGUUUUAUUUUUGCCAGCUCAUAAAAUGACCUCAAACCAUUGACAUCUGUUUAUAUUAUUUUUAUAAUAUGAUUGAUAAACUGUCACAAUUCAGACACCUGGUCUGUCUUGAUCACCCACUCACUCUUUUUGUACAUUAUUUAAAACAA